rnacentral:rRNA from 1 species
GACAGAGGGUGCAAACGUUGUUCGAAAUUACUGGGCGUAAAGCGCGUGUAGGCGGCUAUGUAAGUCGGGCGUGAAAUCCCACGGCUCAACUGUGGAAGUGCACUCGAAACUGCGUAGCUAGAGUCCUGGAGAGGAAGGUGGAAUACUUGGUGUAGAGGUGAAAUUCGUAGAUAUCAAGUGGAACACCAGUGGCGAAGGCGGCCUUCUGGACAGUGACUGACGCUGAGACGCGAAAGCGUGGGGAGCAAACAGG